GACGAACGCUGGCGGCGUGCUUAACACAUGCAAGUCGAACGGAAAGGCCCUGCUUUUGUGGGGUGCUCGAGUGGCGAACGGGUGAGUAACACGUGAGUAACCUGCCCUUGACUUUGGGAUAACUUCAGGAAACUGGGGCUAAUACCGGAUAGGGGCUCCUGCUGCAUGGUGGGGGUUGGAAAGUUUCGGCGGUUGGGGAUGGACUCGCGGCUUAUCAGCUUGUUGGUGGGGUAGUGGCUUACCAAGGCUUUGACGGGUAGCCGGCCUGAGAGGGUGACCGGCGACAUGGGGACUGAGAUACGGCCCAGACGCCUACGGGAGGCAGCAGUGGGGAAUAUUGCACAAUGGGCGGAAGCCUGAUGCAGCAACGCCGCGUGCGGGAUGACGGCCUUCGGGUGGUAAACCUCUUUCGCCUGUGACGAAGCGUGAGUGACGGUAAUGGGUAAAGAAGCACCGGCUAACUACGUG
rnacentral:rRNA from 1 species